rnacentral:rRNA from 1 species
CGGAGGAUCCAAGCGUUAUCCGGAAUCAUUGGGUUUAAAGGGUCUGUAGGCGGUCUUGUAAGUCAGUGGUGAAAGCCCAUCGCUCAACGGUGGGACGGCCAUUGAUACUGCUGGACUUGAAUUAUUGGGAAGCAACUAGAAUAUGUAGUGUAGCGGUGAAAUGCUUAGAGAUUACAUGGAAUACCAAUUGCGAAGGCAGGUUGCUACCAAUGGAUUGACGCUGAUGGACGAAAGCGUGGGUAGCGAACAGGAUUAGAUACCCUGGUAGUCCACGCCGUAAACGAUGGAUACUAGCUGUUGGGCGCAAGUUCAGUGGCUAAGCGAAAGUGAUAAGUAUCCCACCUGGGGAGUACGAACGCAAGUUUG